rnacentral:rRNA from 1 species
AGAGUUUGAUCAUGGCUCAGAUUGAACGCUGGCGGCAGGCUUAACACAUGCAAGUCGAGCGGGGGAGAUUGCUUCGGUAAUUGACCUAGCGGCGGACGGGUGAGUAAUACUUAGGAAUCUGCCUAUUAAUGGGGGACAACAUCUCGAAAGGGAUGCUAAUACCGCAUACGCCCUACGGGGGAAAGCAGGGGGUCACUUGUGACCUUGCGUUAAUAGAUGAGCCUAAGUCGGAUUAGCUAGUUGGUGGGGUAAAGGCCUACCAAGGCGACGAUCUGUAGCGGGUCUGAGAGGAUGAUCCGCCACACUGGGACUGAGACACGGCCCAGACUCCUACGGGAGGCAGCAGUGGGGAAUAUUGGACAAUGGGGGGAACCCUGAUCCAGCCAUGCCGCGUGUGUGAAGAAGGCCUUAUGGUUGUAAAGCACUUUAAGCGAGGAGGAGGCUCCUGUAGUUAAUACCUACAGAGAGUGGACGUUACUCGCAGAAUAAGCACCGGCUAACUCUGUGCCAGCAGCCGCGGUAAUACAGAGGGUGCGAGCGUUAAUCGGAUUUACUGGGCGUAAAGCGUGCGUAGGCGGCUUUUUAAGUCGGAUGUGAAAUCCCCGAGCUUAACUUGGGAAUUGCAUUCGAUACUGGGAAGCUAGAGUAUGGGAGAGGAUGGUAGAAUUCCAGGUGUAGCGGUGAAAUGCGUAGAGAUCUGGAGGAAUACCGAUGGCGAAGGCAGCCAUCUGGCCUAAUACUGACGCUGAGGUACGAAAGCAUGGGGAGCAAACAGGAUUAGAUACCCUGGUAGUCCAA